rnacentral:lncRNA from 12 species
CCCCCCCCCCCCCCCCCCCCCCCCCCCCCCCCCCCCCCCCCCCCCCCCCCCCCCCCCCCCCCCCGUGUGAAGGAAGAUUUUGGGGUGUAUGAAGGAGGAUUUUGGGGUGUGAGGGGAGAUUUUGGGGUGUGAAGGAGGAUUUUGGGGGGUAUGAUGGAGGAUUUUGGGGUGUGAAGGAAGAUUUUGGGGUGUAUGAAGGAGGAUUUUGGGGUGUGAGGGGAGAUUUUGGGGUGUCCCCACCCCAAUCCCUGCCCUGGACCUGCCCCCGUCCCUCCAGGAGUUGGGCUUGGAGGGGAAUUUUAGGCUUUCAACAGAAAUUGAGGGGUGCAGAUGCAGAUUUUGGGAUUCCCAGAGGGGUUGCAGGAAGACUUUGGGGUUCAGAGUGGGGAUUUUGGGGUUCAGGGUGGGGAUUUUGGGGCUCAUGGUGGAGAUUUUGGGGUUCAGGAUGAGGAUUUUGGGGUCCCAGGUGGGGAUUUUGGGGUUCCUGGUGCGGAUUUUGGGGAUUCAGGGUGCAGAUUUUGGGGUUCAGGAUGGGGAUUUGGGGAUUCAGGGUGCAGAUUUUGGGGUUCAGGAUGGGGAUUUUGGGGUUCCUGGUGCAGAUUUGGGGUCUCCUGGUGCAGAUUUUGGCUCCCCCCUCACCUGCCCCCCCAGAGCGUACCUGGACCUGGACGUGGCGCUGUCCCCCGAGAGUUUCCAGGGGUUGGGGAGGGGGGGUAAAUGCAGAUUUUGGAGUUUAGAGAGAAUUUUUGGGUGUGAAGGAGGAUUUUGGGUGUGUAGAGGGGUGUGAAGGAGGAUUUUGGGGGGUAUGAAGGAGAAUUUUUGGGUGUGAAGGAGGAUUUUGGGUGUGUAGAGGGGUGUGAAGGAGGAUUUUGGGGGGUAUGAAGGAGAAUUUUUGGGUGUGAAGGAGGAUUUUGGGUGUGUAGAGGGGUGUGAAGGAGGAUUUUGGGGGGUAUGAAGGAGAAUUUUUGGGUGUGAAGGAGGAUUUUGGGUGUGUAGAGGGGUGUGAAGGAGGAUUUUGGGGGGUAUGAAGGAGAAUUUUUGGGUGUGAAGGAGGAUUUUGGGUGUGUAGAGGGGUGUGAAGGAGGAUUUUGGGGGGUAUGAAGGAGAAUUUUUGGGUGUGAAGGAGGAUUUUGGGUGUGUAGAGGGGUGUGAAGGAGGAUUUUGGGGGGUAUGAAGGAGAAUUUUUGGGUGUGAAGGAGGAUUUUGGGUGUGUAGAGGGGUGUGAAGGAGGAUUUUGGGGGGUAUGAAGGAGAAUUUUUGGGUGUGAAGGAGGAUUUUGGGUGUGUAGAGGGGUGUGAAGGAGGAUUUUGGGGGGUAUGAAGGAGGAUUUUGGGGUGUGAAGGAGGAUUUUGGGGUGUA